rnacentral:rRNA from 1 species
UCGACCUGCAGGCGGCCGCGAAUUCACUAGUGAUUCGUAUUACCGCGGCUGCUGGCACGGAGUUAGCCGGAGCUUAUUCUCCCGGUACUGUCAUUAUCAUCCCGGGUAAAAGAGCUUUACAACCCUAAGGCCUUCAUCACUCACGCGGCAUUGCUGGAUCAGGCUUUCGCCCAUUGUCCAAUAUUCCCCACUGCUGCCUCCCGUAGGAGUCUGGGCCGUGUCUCAGUCCCAGUGUGGCUGAUCAUCCUCUCAGACCAGCUAAGGAUCGUCGCCUUGGUGCGCCUUUACCACACCAACUAGCUAAUCCUACGCGGGCUCAUCCCUCGGCGAUAAAUCUUUGGACUUACGUCGUCAUCCGGUAUUAGCAGUCAUUUCUAACUGUUAUUCCGAACCAAGGGGCAGAUUCCCACGCGUUACGCACCCGUGCGCCACUAAGGCCGAAGCCUUCGUUCGACUUGCAUGUGUUAGGCAUGCCGCCAGCGUUCGUUCUGAGCCAUGAUCAAACUCUAAUCGAAUUCCCGCGGCCGCC